rnacentral:rRNA from 1 species
AACGCGAAGAACCUUACCUGGAUUUGACAUCCUCGGACAAACGCAGAGAUGCGUCUUUCGUAGCAAUACGACCGGGAGACAGGUGCUGCAUGGCUGUCGUCAGCUCGUGUGGUGACAUGUUGGGUUAAGUCCCGCAACGAGCGCAACCCUUGUCCUUAGUUGCCAGCAUUCAGUUGGGCUCUCUAAGGAGACUGCCGUGGUUAACACGGAGGAAGGUGGGGAUGACGUCAAGUCCUCAUGGCCUUUAUAUCCAGGGCGACACACGUGAUACAAUGGACGGUACAGAGGGACGCGAACCCGCGAGGGGGAGCUAAUCUCAAAAAGCCGUUCUCAGUUCGGAUUGGAGUCUGCAACUCGACUCCAUGAAGUUGGAAUCGCUAGUAAUCGCGGAUCAGCACGCCGCGGUGAAUACGUUCCCGGGCCUUGUACACACCGAGACGAC